rnacentral:misc_RNA from 1 species
GAUGAAGAACGUAGCGAAAUGCGAUAAGUAGUGUGAAUUGCAGAAUUCAGUGAAUCAUCGAAUCUUUGAACGCACAUUGCGCCCCUUGGUAUCCCGAGGGGCAUGCCUGUUCGAGCGUCAUUUCACCACUCAAGCCUGGCUUGGUGUUGGGCGACGUCCUCUUUGGGGACGCGCCUCGAAACGCUCGGCGGCGUGGCACCGGCUUUAAGCGUAGCAGAAUCUUUCGCUUUGGAAGUCGGGGCCCCGUCUGCCGGAAGACCUGCUCGCAAGGUUGACCUCGGAUCAGGCAGGGAUACCCGCUGAACUUAAGCAUAUCAAUAAGCGGAGA